AGUCCUGUGGCCCAACGGAUAAGGCGUUUGCCUCCGGAGUCAAAGAUUGUGGGUUCGUAUCCCAUUAGGAUCG